GAUGAAGAACGCAGCGAAAUGCGAUACGUAAUGUGAAUUGCAGAAUUCAGUCAAUCAUCGAAUCUUUGAACGCAUAUUGCGCUCUCUGGUAUUCCGGAGAGCAUGCUUGUUUGAGUAUCAGUAAACACCUCAACUCCCUUUUCUUUUUUGAAAUUGGAGCUGGACUUGAGUGAUCCCAACGCUUUCUUCCAAGAAAGUGGCGGGUUGCUUGAAAUGCAGGUGCAGCUGAACUUUUCUCUGAGCUAUAAGCAUAUCUAUUUAGUCUGCCUAAAAAACAGAUUAUUACCUUUGCUGCAGCUAACAUAAAGGAGACUAGUUCUUGUGCUGACUGAUGCAGGAUUCACAGAGACAGCUUCGGCUGACUUUGUAAACUCGAUCUCAAAUCAAGUAAGACUACCCGCUGAACUUAAGCAUAUCAAUAAGCGGAGGA
rnacentral:misc_RNA from 1 species